UACGUAGGGGGCAAGCGUUGUCCGGAUUUAUUGGGCGUAAAGCGCUCGCAGGUGGUUCGUCGCGUCGUGCGUGAAAGACCCCGGCUCAACUGGGGGAGGUCGUGCGAUACGGGCGAACUGGAGGCCAGUAGGGGGAUGCGGAAUUCCGGGUGUAGUGGUGGAAUGCGUAGAGAUCCGGAGGAACACCAGCGGCGAAGGCGGCAUCCUGGACUGGUUCUGACACUCAUGAGCGAAAGCGUGGGGAGCGAUCCGG
rnacentral:rRNA from 1 species